ACUCCUACGGGAGGCAGCAGUGGGGAAUAUUGCGCAAUGGACGAAAGUCUGACGCAGCGACGCCGCGUGGAGGAUGAAGGUUUCGGAUCGUAAACUCCUGUCAAGAGGGAAGAAACCUAUUAUGAAUAAUACUCAUAGUAAUUGACGGUACCUCUAGAGGAAGCACCGGCUAAUUCAGUGCCAGCAGCCGCGGUAAUACUGAAGGUGCAAGCGUUAAUCGGAAUCACUGGGCGUAAAGCGCUCGUAGGUGGCUUUGUAAGUCAGGUGUGAAAGCCCACGGCUCAACCGUGGAAUUGCACUUGAUACUGCAUCGCUAGAGUAUAGGAGAGGGAAGUGGAAUUUCUGGUGUAGGAGUGAAAUCCGUAGAGAUCAGAAGGAACACCCGUGGCGAAGGCGACUUCCUGGACUAUUACUGACACUGAGGAGCGAAAGCGUGGGAGCAAACAGGAUUAGAUACCCCUGGUAGCGACUGA
rnacentral:rRNA from 1 species